UGGAAAGAAAGGAUUUUGCAAAGGGCUCA
rnacentral:piRNA from 1 species